AUGCUCAAGUUAGAAGAGAGUUAUGGUUCUCCAUAGGAUAUAAUAGUCACUCAAUAGUGCUCUGUUUUCCUGAGGAGAUACAUGA
rnacentral:snoRNA from 1 species